rnacentral:rRNA from 1 species
GACGGAGGUGGCGAGCGUUGUUCGGAAUUACUGGGCUUAAAGGGCGCGUAGGCGGUAUGUUAAGUCGAAGGUGGAAGGCAUGGGCUCAACCCAUGGACAGCCUUCGAAACUGGCGUACUUGAGUCGUGCAGGGGAUGGCGGAAUUCCAGGUGUAGCGGUGAAAUGCGUAGAUAUCUGGAGGAAGGCCGGUGGCGAAGGCGGCCAUCUGGGCACGAACUGACGCUGAGGCGCGAAAGCGUGGGGAGCAAACAGG